rnacentral:rRNA from 1 species
AGUGAACGCUGGCGGUAGGCCUAACACAUGCAAGUCGAACGGCAGCACAGUAAGAGCUUGCUCUUACGGGUGGCGAGAGGCGGACGGGUGAGGAAUACAUCGGAAUCUAGAUUUUCGUGGGGGAUAACGUAGGGAAACUUACGCUCAUACCGGAUACGACCUACGGGUGUAAGCAGUGGAUAUUCGGACCUGGCGCGGAUGAAGUAGCCGAUGUCGGAUUAGCUAGUGGGCGGGCGAAAGGCCCACGAAGGCGACGAUCCGUAGCUGGACUGAGUGGAUGAUAACCCACACUGGAACUGAGCCACGGUCCAGACUCCUACGAGACGCAGCAGUCUGGAAUAUUGGACAAUGGGCGCAAGCCUUAUCCAGCCAUACCGCGUGGGUGACGAAGGCCUUCGGUUUGUAAAGCCCUUUUGUUGGGAAAGAAACGCAGCAGGUUAAUACCACGCUGUUCUGACGGUACCCAAAGAAUAAGCACCGGCUAACUUCGUG